UACGUAGGGUGCGAGCGUUAAUCGGAAUUACUGGGCGUAAAGCGUGCGCAGGCGGUUCGUUAUGUCCGAUGUGAAAGCCCCGAGCUCAACUUGGGAAUGGCAUUGGAAACUGGCGGGCUGGAGUGUGGCAGAGGGGGGUGGAAUUCCACGUGUAGCAGUGAAAUGCGUAGAGAUGUGGAGGAACACCGAUGGCAAAGGCAGCCCCCUGGGCCAACACUGACGCUCAGGCACGAAAGCGUGGGGAGCAAACAGG
rnacentral:rRNA from 1 species